CCCAGAUCCAGCUCACUGUCCUUGAGGAGGAGGGAGCUGGACAACAGGAGCUUGUAACAGUACUCACACUUGUAACCAGUCCAGGAGCAGUUGCCUCAAGAGAAAGCAGACACUGAGACUCCUCUUGGUUGCACAAGGCACAGUUUAAAUCUCCCUAGCACCUUGCUUGACUGCGCUGCAGGAUUUCCCUGAGGGCAAGGGCGACAAGCAUCAGGCCUGAUCUGAUGGAAGCUCCACAGGAGACAGGGACUGAUUGGAAAUUUUCUUCUUGACAUCUAGCAUCUUGCUGAAGAGACGAAGAAUAAUGUCGAUGUUGUGCAGCAUUCAACUCCAUCGGCUUCAAAGGGAUGUGUUCUGCUAUCAGAGGGCUUAGAGUUGCUGUGAGCUGUGUGUAUGUCCAGGUAAAAGUGGCUUCAGCCUGUGACUUACUCUGGGACAGCUGACAACAGCAUCUGAUAAUGUUGCCAAAGGCUUCUGUGAGUCAUGGAGCUGGAAGAAAACUUGUC
rnacentral:lncRNA from 1 species